UACGGGGGGGGCAAGCGUUGUUCGGAAUUACUGGGCGUAAAGGGCUCGUAGGCGGCCAACUAAGUCAGACGUGAAAUCCCUCGGCUUAACCGGGGAACUGCAUCUGAUACUGGAUGGCUUGAGUUCGGGAGAGGGAUGCGGAAUUCCAGGUGUAGCGGUGAAAUUCGUAGAUAUUGGGAAGAACACCGGUGGCGAAGGCGGCGACCUGGUCCGUGACUGACGCUGAGGCGCGAAAGCGUGGGGAGCAAACAGG
rnacentral:rRNA from 1 species